UGGGGAAUCUUCCGCAAUGGACGAAAGUCUGACGGAGCAACGCCGCGUGAGUGAUGACGGCCUUCGGGUUGUAAAGCUCUGUUAAUCGGGACGAAUGGUUCUUGUGCGAAUAGUGCAAGGAUUUGACGGUACCGGAAUAGAAAGCCACGGCUAACUACGUGCCAGCAGCCGCGGUAAUACGUAGGUGGCAAGCGUUGUCCGGAAUUAUUGGGCGUAAAGCGCGCGCAGGCGGAUUGGUCAGUCUGUCUUAAAAGUUCGGGGCUUAACCCCGUGAUGGGAUGGAAACUGCCAAUCUAGCGUAUCGGAGAUGAAAGUGGAAUUCCUAGUGUAGCGGUGAAAUGCGUAGAUAUUAGGAAGAACACCAGUGGCGAAGGCGACUUUCUGGACGAAAACUGACGCUGAGGCGCGAAAGCCAGGGGAGCGAACGGG
rnacentral:rRNA from 1 species